rnacentral:rRNA from 1 species
GCGGCCGUAACUAUAACGGUCCUAAGGUAGCGAAAUUCCUUGUCGGGUAAGUUCCGACCUGCACGAAUGGCGUAAUGAUGGCCAGGCUGUCUCCACCCGAGACUCAGUGAAAUUGAACUCGCUGUGAAGAUGCAGUGUACCCGCGGCAAGACGGAAAGACCCCGUGAACCUUUACUAUAGCUUGACACUGAACAUUGAGCCUUGAUGUGUAGGAUAGGUGGGAGGCUUUGAAGUGUGG